GAUGAACGCUGGCGGCGUGCCUAAUACAUGCAAGUCGAACGAGUUCUCGUUGAUGAUUGGUGCUUGCACCGAGAUUCAACAUGGAACGAGUGGCGGACGGGUGAGUAACACGUGGGUAACCUGCCCUUAAGUGGGGGAUAACAUUUGGAAACAGAUGCUAAUACCGCAUAGAUCCAAGAACCGCAUGGUUCUUGGCUGAAAGAUGGCGUAAGCUAUCGCUUUUGGAUGGACCCGCGGCGUAUUAGCUAGUUGGUGAGGUAAUGGCUCACCAAGGCGAUGAUACGUAGCCGAACUGAGAGGUUGAUCGGCCACAUUGGGACUGAGACACGGCCCAA
rnacentral:rRNA from 1 species